rnacentral:rRNA from 1 species
UGGGGAAUUUUGGACAAUGGGGGCAACCCUGAUCCAGCAAUGCCGCGUGAGUGAAGAAGGCCUUCGGGUUGUAAAGCUCUUUUGUCAGGGAAGAAACGGGAGUGGCUAAUAUCCAUUCCUAAUGACGGUACCUGAAGAAUAAGCACCGGCUAACUACGUG